rnacentral:tRNA from 1 species
GCGGAGAUGGCAGAAUCUGGUUAUCGCGCACGCCUGGAAAGCGUGUGCCUUUACGGGCUUGGGAGUUCAAAUCUCCCUCUCCGCG